UUCUUUACAAACGGAGACCCACAGAGAACAGAGCCUGUCAUGCACUUCCUGAAAGGAUUUACAUACAGAAGAGAAGUACAUUCACGAGGUUAUUGCUAUUUCACUAGUAUUAUCUCCAAUCAAGGCAUAAAAGCAGCUCUGCUCUAGCUAACUGAGAACCAACAUCAGCAUUUCCAAACCCAGAUAUAAUCCCUCUUCAACAGCUGCUGAUUAUUGACUGAUUUGCCACUGCUCCUUCAUGAUGGAAGUGGAACUGACACUGAUGGGACCAUCCCCAAAGCCCAUCCACCCUUCAGGCUGUGGAGCACAUUGAAGCCAAGGACUGAGGAAUUAUGUGAGGGUGGUUCACUUGCUUAUGAACUCAAGACUUCCGUGUAUGUGGCUCAACAGUAAACAACUGCCAGGGCUAACACCUGCAGUUCAAGUACAAGAUCUCUGUGCUUCUGGGACCCCUAUGACACACCAUGAAGUUAACGUACAGGUAAAACUAGCUCCUGGGAUGUCCUCUUUGUCCAGCAAGGAGGCUGGACCCUGGAGCUCCCAGUCCCCAGGCACUCUGCACAGUGAAGGUUUGCACAAGUCUGGAAACCUCAACUCUGGGCAGCAUGCCAGAGUUCAUCCAAACAUAUUUGCCUAAGUUGAUAUUUCUGUAGUACAUUUCAAAACUUGACAAAUCAUUACUUUCUGACGUUCGGUAUUCAUAUUUUUUUUCUCUUUAAGCUUUCCAGGCAGAAAUGUAAAUUGCAAGUGCCACCAUAGCAACUCAAUGCAAAAAUACAAAUCUUCAAAUAACAAAUUAAAUGAAGGAUGUUUGAAGUAUUUUUAUUUUGUAAUAAAUUUAUAAGUGUCAACUAGAUCAGGGCUUCAUUUCUAAAGGGGUUUUACUGUCUAUCUAAAAAGACAAUCCUUCACUUGAAAGAGAUUAUAACAUUAGCCUGAGACAAAACAUAGAGGUAUAACAAAACAUCUCAAAUGCAUACUAUUUUUCUAUAGAAGAAAACUGUUUAAUGGUACCUAAAUGCUCCUAAAUGGUACCUUAGGUUCCUAAAUGUCUAUGUCACUGGCUUUCCUGGCUUUCUUACUGACAUUCAAAAGGAAAUUAUGACAGAACCAAGACAGAACCUAUACAACCCAGUUUUGGAGUCCUCAGCCACUGCCACAAAAACAGGGUAAUUUCAAAGAUGGUUAACAAAUGGGAUCUUUUAAAAGACUGAUGGUUGUCAUAUGCUUAAGGCUCAGUUUGAAACUAUGCAGCAUAUACAUAGAAGAGAUGACAGUUUUUCAGAUAUGUGGUUUCUCCGGCUAAGGUGGUAUUUCUCCAAAUCAGGAUAACACUCAACAAACCAGAGAAUACAGUGGCACCCCUUCAACCCAAUAUGAGGGCCAAGUUCCAGUUUUAGAUGCUAAGCACGCGCUAUUGCAACUUUCAGAAGGCUUACUUUCACAUAUAUUGUGCAUCAAAGACUGAAUCUGUAUGCCAACCUCUAGCAAAACUGACAAAAACAGCAGCAUCGGUAUCCACAGAAGAAGUUACAUGAAAUCAAGGUUAUGUACAGAAUAAAAAGAAAUCCAAGUUAUUGUUAAGCUGAAUAACCCAUUCCUUUCUGAUUCCUUCAUUUCUCAUCAACAUCUGCCUAAGUGUAUCUCCCUUUACAAUGAAGUUUGUUUCCACAACAUAAAAAUAAAUUUGAACAAGAACACCAA